AAUAUGCUUGUCUCAAAGAUUAAGCCAUGCAUGUCUAAGUAUAAGCAAUUAUACAGCGAAACUGCGAAUGGCUCAUUAUAUAAGUUAUCGUUUAUUUGAUAGUACCUUACUACUUGGAUAACCGUGGUAAUUCUAGAGCUAAUACAUGCUAAAAAUCCCGACUUCGGAAGGGAUGUAUUUAUUAGAUUAAAAACCAAUGCCCUCUGGGCUCUCUGGUGAUUCAUGAUAACUUCUCGAAUCGCAUGGCCUUGCGCCGGCGAUGGUUCAUUCAAAUUUCUUCCCUAUCAACUUUCGAUGUUUGGGUAGUGGCCAAACAUGGUUGCAACGGGUAACGGAGGGUUAGGGCUCGACCCCGGAGAAGGAGCCUGAGAAACGGCUACUACAUCCAAGGAAGGCAGCAGGCGCGCAAAUUACCCAAUCCCGAUUCGGGGAGGUAGUGACAAUAAAUACUGAUACAGGGCUCUUUUGGGUCUUGUAAUUGGAAUGAGUACAAUUUAAAUCCCUUAACGAGGAACAAUUGGAGGGCAAGUCUGGUGCCAGCAGCCGCGGUAAUUCCAGCUCCAAUAGCGUAUAUUAAAGUUGUUGUGGUUAAAAAGCUCGUAGUUGAACCUUGGGCCUGGCUGGCCGGUCCGCCUCACCGCGUGUACUGGUCCGGCCGGGCCUUUCCCUCUGUGGAACCCCAUGCCCUUCACUGGGUGUGGCGGGGAAACAGGACUUUUACUUUGAAAAAAUUAGAGUGCUCCAGGCAGGCCUAUGCUCGAAUACAUUAGCAUGGAAUAAUAAAAUAGGACGUGCGGUUCUAUUUUGUUGGUUUCUAGGACCGCCGUAAUGAUUAAUAGGGACAGUCGGGGGCAUCAGUAUUCAAUUGUCAGAGGUGAAAUUCUUGGAUUUAUUGAAGACUAACUACUGCGAAAGCAUUUGCCAAGGAUGUUUUCAUUAAUCAGGAACGAAAGUUAGGGGAUCGAAGACGAUCAGAUACCGUCGUAGUCUUAACCAUAAACUAUGCCGACUAGGGAUCGGACGAUGUUAUAUUUUGACUCGUUCGGCACCUUACGAGAAAUCAAAGUGCUUGGGCUCCAGGGGGAG
rnacentral:rRNA from 2 species